GUUUGUGGCUCAGCGGUAGAGCGCUCACCUAGCACGUGAGAGACCCUGGGUUCUAUCCUCAGCACUACA
rnacentral:tRNA from 1 species